rnacentral:rRNA from 1 species
UUGGAUGGUCCCGCGGCGUAUUAGCUAGAUGGUGGGGUAACGGCUCACCAUGGCAAUGAUACGUAGCCGACCUGAGAGGGCAAUCGGCCACAUUGGGACUGAGACACGGCCCAAACUCCUACGGGAGGCAGCAGUAGGGAAUCUUCCACAAUGGACGAAAGUCUGAUGGAGCAACGCCGCGUGAGUGAAGAAGGGUUUCGGCUCGUAAAACUCUGUUGUUAAAGAAGAACAUAUCUGAGAGUAACUGUUCAGGUAUUGACGGUAUUUAACCAGAAAGCCACGGCUAACUACGUGCCAGCAGCCGCGGUAAUACGUAGGUGGCAAGCG